UCAGCUCACUGCAGCUCCUCAGAUCUGAGAAUCACCAGAACAUGAAGAUUUUAACGGUCUUCUUCCUUUGCUGUUGUUUUUCAUCUACAGUGGAACACUCCCUGGAAUUUUGCGUCACCUCAUCUCAUGGAUUUCCACACUUUCCGGAGUUUGUGGUUGUAGUGGUGGUUGAUGGAGUUGAGUCUGGGUCCUAUGACAGCAACACCAGAAUGCUAAAACUUCAUGACUGGACAACAGAAUUCAUAAGAGAUAACCCAGACUACCUGCAGUUAUUUUCACAGGAGUGUUAUGGGACUGAAAUCUCCUUCAGGCGUUACACUGUGGACAUCAUGCAUAACUUAAACCAAAAUGAAGGUGUGCACGUUCUACAGCUGAGGAGUGGCUGUGAGUGGGAUGAAGAGACCGGAGAGACUGCUGGUUUUCUGAAGCUUGGUUAUGAUGGAGAGGACUUCAUGGCUCUGGACCUGCAGACAUCAACAUGGACUGCUCUAAAACCUGAGGCCAACAUUACUAAACUCAGAUGGGAUGCUGACAAAGUUGGAUUACAUGACUAUACUAGCUUCUACAAGUAUCAGUGUUCCAUUUGGCUGAAGGAGUUUUUGCCCUACGGGAGAAAGUAUUUACAGAGGACAGUGCUUCCCUCAGUGUCUCUCCUCCAGAAGUCUCCCUCCUCUCCAGUCAGCUGCUUCGCCACAGGUUUCUACCCUGACAGAGCUGCGAUGUUCUGGAGGAAAGAUGGAGAGGAGCUUUAUGAGGGCGUGGACCAUGGAGAGAUCCUCCCAAACAAUGAUGACACCUUCCAGAUGAGUGCUGACCUGAACAUUUCAUCAGUGAAACUUGAAGACUGGGAGAAGUACGAGUGUGUGUUUCAGCUCUCUGGAGUGAAGGAGGACAUCGUCACCAGACUGGACAAAUCAAUGAUCCCUUAUGGUUCUCCUCCUCGGGUUCCUGUUGUUAUUGGAGUUGUUGCAGGACUGCUGCUCCUGUCAGUCUGCAUCACUGGAUUCAUCAUGUGGAGAAAAAAGAAAAAUGGUCUCCAGGCUGUUCAAUAUCUAACCAAUGCUGCAGCCACAGUCUACACAUCCAUCAACAACAAAACCAGGCAUGCUGCAUCAGGAUUCAAAUCCAGUUAAAGAUGACUCAUCCAUUCAAACAUAUAAGAAGCAGGCUGAGAUAAAAGCAUUUUGACUGAUCAUUCAAUUAGCUCUCUAAGGGGAACAGGGGAAUGCAGAGAUGGCGCUGGACUCCAGCAUGUGAGGAGUCAACACUAUAAUUUCCAGAUGUAUGGGACAGUCGUUUUGUAAAUGUAAUCCAAGCACAACCACCACACGUCACCAAAAACACAGCUAAAGACUUCUCCAGAUUCUCUGAAUCUGAUGACGAUAUUUUAAAAUGUAGAUGGUGUUGUUAACUCACCCAUGCUGUCAAAAUGGCGUCAUCUGGUGGUCAACAAUGGAACAUCUACAGAAGGAGUAAUAAUUGCUGCAGGUGUGCCUGCAGCCAGCAUUAAAGGCCCAAAUCAGUCAUACAGAGGUCUCUCUGAACUCUGUCCACUCCCAGGCCAUGCAUCCUUGAGCAUUUAAGACUGUUUAUCUUUGUUUGACCCCAUUUUCUUUAAUAUGUUUAUGUUAAUGAUACAAAUAGGAAAUUGAUUGUUUGUAGCUUACAUUGACCUGUUACUUUAAUUUUUUUGUUGACACAGAAACCAUCGCUUUGGAUGGAAA